rnacentral:rRNA from 1 species
GAUUACCCUAGUAACGGCGAGUGAAGCGGUAACAGCUCAAAUUUGAAAUCUGGCCUUCACGGGUCCGAGUUGUAAUUUGUAGAGGAUGUUUCGGGCAAGGCUCUGGUUUAAAUUUCUUGGAACAGAAUGUCAUAGAGGGUGAGAGUCCCGUCUAGAACCGAUGGCCGCGUCCAUGUGAAACUCCUUCGACGAGUCGAGUUGUUUGGGAAUGCAGCUCAAAAUGGGUGGUAAAUUUCAUCUAAAGCUAAAUAUUGGCCAGAGACCGAUAGCGCACAAGUAGAGUGAUCGAAAGAUGAAAAGCACUUUGAAAAGAGAGUUAAACAGUAUGUGAAAUUGUUGAAAGGGAAGCGCUUGCGACCAGACUUGCGUGUAGCGGUUCCCCCAGUCUUCUGACUGGGCUAUUCCGUUAUAUCCAGGCCAGCAUCGGUUCGGGUGGUCGGUCAAAGGCCUUGGGAAUGUAUCUACCUUCGGGUCGACUUAUAGCCCAGGGUGUAAUGCGGCCUACCUGGACCGAGGAACGCGCUUCGGCUCGGAUGCUGGCGUAAUGGUUGUAAGCGGCCCGUCUUGAAACACGGACCAAGGAGUCUAACAUCUAUGCGAGUGUUAGGGUGUCAAACCCUUGCGCGUAAUGAAAGUGAACGGAGGUAAGAACCCUUAAGGGCGCAUUAUCGACCGAUCCUGAUGUCUUCGGAUGGAUUUGAGUAAGAGCAUAGCUGUUGGGACCCGAAAGAUGGUGAACUAUGCCUGAAUAGGGUGAAGCCAGAGGAAACUCUGGUGGAGGCUCGCAGCGGUUCUGACGUGCAAAUCGAUCGUCAAAUUUGGGUAUAGGGGCGAAAGACUAAUCGAACCAUAGGGUAGCUGGUUCCUGUCGAAGUUUCCCUCAGGAUAGCAGUAACGUUUUCAGUUUUAUGAGGUAAAGCGAAUGAUUAGAGGCCUUGGGGUUGAAACAACCUUAACCUAUUCUCAAACUUUAAAUAUGUAAGAAGUCCUUGUUACUUAAUUGAACGUGGACAUUUGAAUGUACCGUUACUAGUGGGCCAUUUUUGGUAAGCAGAACUGGCGAUGCGGGAUGAACCGAACGUGAGGUUAAGGUGCCGGAAUAUACGCUCAUCAGACACCACAAAAGGUGUCAAUGCAUCCAGACAGCCGGACGGUGGCCAUGGAAGUCGGAAUCCGCUUAGGAGUGUGUAACAACUCACCGGCCGAAUGCAUUGGCCCUGAAAAUGGAUGGCGCUUAAGCGUGUUACCUAUACCUCGCCGUUAGAGUUGUAAUGAUGCUCUAACGAGUAGGCAGGCGUGGGGGUUUGUGACGAAGC